rnacentral:rRNA from 1 species
AGGUCUUGACAUCCCGCUGACCGCCUAGGAGACUAGGCUUUCCCUUCGGGGACAGCGGUGACAGGUGGUGCAUGGUUGUCGUCAGCUCGUGUCGUGAGAUGUUGGGUUAAGUCCCGCAACGAGCGCAACCCUUGAUCUUAGUUGCCAACAUUCAGUUGGGCACUCUAAGGUGACUGCCGGUGACAAACCGGAGGAAGGUGGGGAUGACGUCAAAUCAUCAUGCCCCUUAUGACCUGGGCUACACACGUGCUACAAUGGACGGUACAAAGGGCUGCAAACCCGCGAGGGGGAGCCAAUCCCAGAAAACCGUUCUCAGUUCGGAUUGCAGGCUGCAACUCGCCUGCAUGAAGCCGGAAUCGCUAGUAAUCGUGGAUCAGCAUGCCACGGUGAAUACGUUCCC